rnacentral:rRNA from 1 species
UGCACACACCGCCCGUCACACCAUGGAAGUUGAGGGCGCCCGAAGCCAGUGGUCCAACCCGUAAGGGAGGAAGCUGUCGAAGGUGAAAUCAAUGACUGGGGUGAAGUCGUAACAAGGUAGCCGUAUCGGAAGGUGCGGCUGGAUCACCUCCUUU